rnacentral:rRNA from 1 species
AUGCACGCUGGCGGCGUGCCUCAUCCAUGCAAGUCGAGCGAACAGACGAGGAGCUUGCUCCUUUGACGUUAGCGGCGGACGGGUGAGUAACACGUGGAUAACCUACCUAUAAGACUGGGAUAACUUCGGGAAACCGGAGCUAAUACCGGAUAACAUGUUGAACCGCAUGGUUCAACAGUGAAAGACGGUCUUGCUGUCACUUAUAGAUGGAUCCGCGCCGCAUUAGCUAGUUGGUAAGGUAACGGCUUACCAAGGCAACGAUGCGUAGCCGACCUGAGAGGGUGAUCGGCCACACUGGAACUGAGACACGGUCCAGACUCCUACGGGAGGCAGCAGUAGGGAAUCUUCCGCAAUGGGCGAAAGCCUGACGGAGCAACGCCGCGUGAGUGAAGAAGGUCUUCGGAUCGUAAAACUCUGUUAUUAGGGAAGAACAAAUGUGUAAGUAACUAUGCACGUCUUGACGGUACCUAAUCAGAAAGCCACGGCUAACUACGUG